GGUCCCAUAGCUCAGUCGGUUAGAGCGUCGUGCUAAUAUAUAUACUCAGGUAUUUAUGUAAACGCGAAGGUCGCGAGUUCGACCCUCGUUGGGACCA